AGUAAAGUGCCUGAAAAAGGAUCAUCUUGAUAGGGUGAAUAAUGUAAGUCAACCUUACCUUUGCUA
rnacentral:tRNA from 2 species